AGAGUUUGAUCCUGGCUCAGAUUGAACGCUGGCGGUAUGCCUAACACAUGCAAGUCGAACGAGGUAGCAAUACCUAGUGGCGGACGGGUGAGGAAUACGUAGGGAUCUGCCUUUAAGUGGGGGAUAACCCGGGGAAACCCGGAUUAAUACCGCAUGAUCUCGCAAGAGCAAAGAGGGGGACCGCAAGGCCUCUCGCUUUUAGAGGAACCUACGUCGGAUUAGCUAGUUGGUGAGGUAAUGGCUCACCAAGGCGACGAUCCGUAACUGGUCUGAGAGGAUGAUCAGUCACACCGGAACUGAGACACGGUCCGGACUCCUACGGGAGGCAGCAGUGGGGAAUAUUGGACAAUGGGCGAAAGCCUGAUCCAGCAAUACCGCGUGUGUGAAGAAGGCCUUCGGGUUGUAAAGCACUUUAAGUUGGGAAGAAAAAGCUUCACCUAAUACGUGAAGCCUUGAUGGUACCGACAGAAUAAGCACCGGCUAACUCUGUGCCAGCAGCCGCGGUAAUACAGAGGGUGCUAGCGUUAAUCGGAUUUACUGGGCGUAAAGCGUGCGUAGGCGGUUUGAUAAGUCGAUUGUGAAAGCCCCGGGCUUAACCUGGGAAUUGCGGUCGAUACUGUCAGACUCGAAAACGGUAGAGGGAGGCGGAACUCCAGGUGUAGCGGUGAAAUGCGUAGAUAUCUGGAAGAACACCGAUGGCGAAGGCAACCUCCUGGGCCUGUUUUGACGCUGAGGCACGAAAGCGUGGGUAGCAAACAGGAUUAGAUACCCUGGUAGUCC
rnacentral:rRNA from 1 species